rnacentral:rRNA from 1 species
AUUGAACGCUGGCGGCAGGCCUAACACAUGCAAGUCGAGCGGAUGACAGGAGCUUGCUCCUUGAUUCAGCGGCGGACGGGUGAGUAAUGCCUAGGAAUCUGCCUGGUAGUGGGGGACAACGUUUCGAAAGGAACGCUAAUACCGCAUACGUCCUACGGGAGAAAGCAGGGGACCUUCGGGCCUUGCGCUAUCAGAUGAGCCUAGGUCGGAUUAGCUAGUAGGUGAGGUAAUGGCUCACCUAGGCGACGAUCCGUAACUGGUCUGAGAGGAUGAUCAGUCACACUGGAACUGAGACACGGUCCAGACUCCUACGGGAGGCAGCAGUGGGGAAUAUUGGACAAUGGGCGAAAGCCUGAUCCAGCCAUGCCGCGUGCGUGAAGAAGGUCUUCGGAUUGUAAAGCACUUUAAGUUGGGAGGAAGGGCAGUAAGUUAAUACCUUGCUGUUUUGACGUUACCGACAGAAUAAGCACCGGCUAACUCUGUGCCAGCCGCCGCCGUAACAC